rnacentral:rRNA from 1 species
GACGGGGGGAGCAAGCGUUGUUCGGAUUUACUGGGCGUAAAGGGCGUCUAGGCGGAUCGGCAAGUCAGGUGUGAAAUCCCCCGGCUCAACCGGGGAACUGCACUUGAAACUGCUGAUCUUGAGUACGGAAGAGGGAAGCGGAAUUCCUGGUGUAGCGGUGAAAUGCGUAGAUAUCAGGAGGAACAUCGGUGGCGAAGGCGGCUUCCUGGUCCGAUACUGACGCUAAAGCGCGAAAGUGUGGGUAGCAAACAGGAUUAGAUACCCCAGUA